rnacentral:rRNA from 1 species
UUUACCGGCGUUAAGGGUGAUUAGAAAAAAUCUCAUUUUUAAAUAAAGUUAAGGCCUCAUCAAGCUGUCAUACGCUCCCAUGCUUAAAAACACCAUUCACGAAAGUAACUUUAACACAACAGAAUUUUUGACCUCACGACAGUUAAGACCCAAACUAGGAUUAGAA